AUAGCUCCCUGUGCUUUCAUGUACGUGACCACAGGAUGUUAUACCCAAAGCUAAUGGAAAGCAUACAAGAACGACACUGACGUUACAUUUGUACAACGUUGUCAUUCAGAGGGAUCCCCAAGCUUCACAAGUGACAACUCAAACCCUGAAGUAUGUAAGUAACUUUGCUCGCCUGAGGGGGAAUCAAUGGGAAUUGCUUAAAUGUCUCCAAGAUGGAGGCCUCUAUGUGGGGGUUUCCUUGUCUCACCCAGGGCCGGCGCAACCCGUUAGUCAACCUAGGCGGUUGCCUAGGGCACUACAAUUUGGGGGGCGGCGACCGCAGCGGUAUUUUGGCGGCGGGAUCUUCCGCCGCCUCUGUGGGGGGCGGCAUUUCAGGAAGGGACCUUCCGCCGCCUCUGUGGGGGGUGGCAUUUCAGGAAGGGACCUUCCGCCGCCUAGGGCGGCAGAAAAGCUGGCGGCGCUCCUGAUCUCACCAUUACAGUGCAGUUCCAUUUGGAAAUGUAGCCCAUGUUUAAAAGUGCCCAGGAAGACUCUGCAAUAGUUUAAGACAGAAUGAGAAGAUUAUUGUCAAUUAUAACUAGAUGGGGGAUUUCAGGAAAGUAGAAGGUAGUUAACCAAAUUUGAAUUUGGCCAUUUUGCUGCACUUAACACUGCUACCCUUCCAAAAAGCUGCAUGUGAUCACAAACACACAUGCUCUCACUUUUACACCUUGUCUGAAAGAUUAUAUUUCUAUAGGUAUCUUGACUCCUCUAGUCCCAUAUUGGGGCAUUGGUUCCAGAGAGGAGAUUCACUAACACCAUUCCCAAUGCCACUCCAGAUUUUAUUUGAGCCUUCUCAUCCAAAGAAUUGAACCAACACUAUCUAGCUGAAAAAAUCAUAGGCUGAAGGUGGUAGGCCAGGCUGCAGUUCCUGAUUAUUACUACUUUUAUUACUAUAGUGCCUGGCGUCCCUAACCAAGAUUGGGACCCCACUGUGCUAGUCACUGUCAAACACAAGAUCUGUCCCUCAGACAGGCUCUGUCCCAGACAGCUUUCAAUCUAACUAUACAAGGCACACAAAAGAACAGAGGCACAAGGGACUUACCCGGGUUCACACAAGAAAUCAGUGUCGAGCCGGAUAUUGAACUCAGAUCUUCUUAGAUAGGGGUUCUCAAACUUAAUUGCACCGCAACUCCCUUCUGACAACAAAAAUUACUACAUGACCCCAAGGAAGGAGGGGGACCAAAGCCUGAGCCCGCCCUAGUCCCACCACUCCAGGUCGGGGGAGCCAAAGCCCGAGCCCCACCGCCCUGGAUUGGGGGGUCAAAGCCAAAGCCCCAGGGCUUCAGCCUGAGGCAGGGGGCCUGUAACUUGAGCCCCGCCGCGCAGGGCUGAAGCCCUCAGACUUCGGGCGGUUUUUGCCCCAGGCCCCAGCAAGUCUAAGCCAAUCCUGGCGACCCUAUUAAAACAGGAUCGCGACCCGCUUUGGAGUCCUGACCCACAGUUUGUUCUUAGGCAUAAUUCAAUGCUUUAACCACAAAAUCACACUUCGUCCUUCUCACAUACAUGCCGUGAUUUUUAUUACUACACAACCAGGAUUUUGAGAGCAUGUCUCUGAUUUGUAUGGAGCAUAUUAAUUCAAACUGGAUCAAGCAGUUAGAGGACAGAUGGGGAUGUCUUUGCAGGUUGACAGAGAAUGAACAGUAGAUUAUUAGAAAGCUAGAUUUCAGGACUGAAAAAAUAAAUCAAAUAUUUAGAAUAUGCA
ensembl:lncRNA